rnacentral:rRNA from 1 species
AAUGAACGCUGGCGGCAUGCCUAACACAUGCAAGUCGAACGAGACCUUCGGGUCUAGUGGCGCACGGGUGCGUAACGCGUGGGAAUCUGCCCUUGGGUUCGGAAUAACUAGCCGAAAGGCGUGCUAAUACCGGAUGAUGACGUAAGUCCAAAGAUUUAUCGCCCAAGGAUGAGCCCGCGUAGGAUUAGCUAGUGGGUGGGGUAAAGGCCCACCAAGGCGACGAUCCUUAGCUGGUCUGAGAGGAUGAUCAGCCACACUGGGACUGAGACACGGCCCAGACUCCUACGGGAGGCAGCAGUGGGGAAUAUUGGACAAUGGGCGAAAGCCUGAUCCAGCAAUGCCGCGUGAGUGAUGAAGGCCUUAGGGUUGUAAAGCUCUUUUACCCGGGAUGAUAAUGACAGUACCGGGAGAAUAAGCCCCGGCUAACUCCGUGCCAGCCGCCGCCGUAA